rnacentral:rRNA from 1 species
UACGUAGGGUGCAAGCGUUGCUCGGAAUUACUGGGCGUAAAGCGUGCGUAGGCGGGUUGUUAAGUCAGGUGUGAAAUCCCCGGGCUUAACCCGGGAACUGCGCUUGUUACUGGCAGACUGGAGUGUGGCAGAGGGGGGUGGAAUUCCAGGUGUAGCAGUGAAAUGCGUAGAUAUCUGGAGGAACACCGAUGGCGAAGGCAGCCCCCUGGGCCAACACUGACGCUGAUGCACGAAAGCGUGGGGAGCAAACAGG